UUGCGGUGAUGCAAAAAACAUAUUUAACAAUAUGACGCAUUUUCAAAUGAGUAGGCGUAUAAUUGGUCAUGACAAAGCUUCGCGUCGUUACGUCGGGCACAAGCUAUACGUUCUGAGCGCGUAAUGAAAUCGCGAGCAGUAUUUCCAUGGUAACCUCAGUGCAGACACUCAUUUCCGAUAGUUCUAUGAAGGCAACGUUUGCAGUUCGUCCCCACUCACAUCGUAUUCCAUCUGCAUAAAAAGUGCGGUGCGAUCUAAACCAAAAUGUCAUCCGACCAGUUCCCGGGUUGGCUCAGCGAUGUGCCCACUUGGCGGCCAUGAUGGGAGGCGCGGCGUUCCCAUCAAAUGCAAUAACUCAAUCGACCACUGACUGAGCUUGACGGAUCCGUCCAUCCCGAGCAGGAUGUUGUCACUCUUGAUGUCUCUGUGGAUGACUUGGUUGGAGUGGAGGAACUCCAACGCUUGCAGACACUAGGGGGCGACAAAGGCCGUCACAAUUCUACAAGUACUCCCUGCAUUUUUAUUUAUUUUUUACCUCUCUGCACACGGCUGCUAUCUGAGCUUCAUCCAUGCAAGUCUCUGUGACCACAUCAGUCAAAGAGCCGCCGGCCAGGUACUCCAUCACUACCCACAGCUCGUCACCAACCAGGUAACUAUGGCGACAGAUAACAGAUGACAUGAAGCACGUGUUUAGUUCGGCAAUGCCAAAAGGUCAUCUGACCUGUCCAGGUAGUUGACGAUAUUGGGGUUCUUGUUUUCCCUCAUGACCAGGAUCUCAUUGAUGAUGAGUUCUUUCUUAGGCUGCUGUUGCAGAUUCAUCUGCUUGAUGGCCACCUGAUGCACAAAAACAUCACGUGUCAAUCAUUUGUAAAGAAGGUAAAACAAAAUUAGCAAACAAAUUCACCAGAUAAACCAAAUAAUUAACCAACCUCUUGUCCAGUGGCGAUGUCGAUGGCCGUAUAAACCGUGCCGGAUGCGCUGGCGCCACAAAACAACAAUUAAAUGUCACUUUUGCUACUUUCCAAACAUCAACAAAAUCUAUUUCUACUCACCCUUGUCCAAUCUUCUCAAAGCGAGUGUAUUUCUUUUUCGGGUCUCCGACACUCACAAUGGUCCCUGUGUGAUACACACACGGAAAUACUGAAGUGAUAAAUUCUCUAUUGAGGUUGAAUUAAGACGAUAGAACACUGAUAUCAUGUGUCUAUCAUCUUUGUUCAUUUGUGAGACUCAGCUGCAUGCUGACUGACGUGAAGAGAAGAACAGAAAGAGAGGUCACAAACAAUAUGGAGGGAUAAGAAAAUGCCCCCCACAGUAAUAAAACAGAAAGGGAUUAAAUAAAAUUCAAAAUCAUAUUGGAAUAGAAAUUAAAAUGUAAAUAUUAGCUAAAUAGAUCAGAAAUUCAAGUCAAAAUUAGGCGUCAAAGUGAAAACAACUGGAAAUAAAGUCAAAUGUAUCCAAGAAUUGGAAAAGACUAGAAAUAAAAUAGUAAAUAAAAUAUGAAAAGCAAUAGAAUAGAAACAAAAGUAAAAUAUUAAAAAAAAAAAAAAAUAGAAAUAGUAGAAGUAGGAAAGCUUUGUUCUGCGAGGUAACCACACUGGGAAAGUUUUGGACAAACCCCCGGAAGAACAGCCAAUCAGAUGAGAGGAUUGGACAAAAGGGGCGGGGACAGUGAGCGGGGCCCAGUCAAUUAGACUGACAGACAGUAUCCUCAUCUUACCAGCAGAGGGCGGCCUGAGAACAUCUUCACAGGCGUGUGCAGUUUAGGGAAAUACAGUACAUGUAUCAACGUAAUUUCUAUUCUUUUCUACAUUUUAAAACCCAAACAUUCCAAUGUAAAUUGACCGUUUUUGAUGACCCUUGAAACUUACUGAGCUUCUCCAAGAUCUCUUCAUCCGACAUCUUCUUCUUGCGUCCUUUGUCCUGAGGGCGGGGCAAGGAGGGCCCCGGCGCAGGGGCGGCCCCCGGCGGGCUACUGGGAGCCGGGGCGCCUUCCGUGGCAGAGCAACCGGGCGGGGUGACGGCUGUGGAGGACGUCGCGGAGGAGGUUGGCACCACGAUGGGGGAGGUGGCGGCGUCUUUGGUGGGAGGAGGCGGAAGGGGCUCGAUGACGGAGCGGGUGUAAAUCUGACAACAUUCAAUUCAAGAUUACUUUUUCAUAUUUUGGAUUGCACAAUUGUGUGUGUUUGUUUAAACAAUAUGAGCAACAGUCCAAUGAUGGGGAAAUAAUCCGCCACAAUUUAAAUCAGCAUUGAACGUUUGUGUGUGUGGGGGUGCGUGUUCCAAUCAGGACUAAUAAAGUCAUCACCAUGGAGACAGACGCUUUAGGGCACCAUAGCAGCAGCCUGUCAACCGCCAACAUGUCUGAGAGCAACUAUGUGCGUGCGUGCAUUUGUACAUUAGCGCGCCCUCUUACCGAUUUGGUGUGUUCCGGCCGUGGGGCGAUGACGGGCGGCGGUUCGGCUUCGUCCUCGUCUUCAUCCUCCGACACGGUGGCGAUGGCGGGCAUCUCCGAGACGCUCUUGGAGAUCUGGGACAAACGAGGACAGGAAAUCAUCCGUGACGUCACUUCCUGUUUGGCCGAAUGCUUUCUUCAUCAUGUUACUUUUCAGUAUUUUCUCAAAACUAAUGUGACAGGAUACUAGGACAGUAGGAAACAAGGAUGCAAGGAGACAAGGAUGCUAGAAUGGUUGCUGGGCUCGUUUCCAAGCUGCAUAGGCAAGAAAGCUCAAAUGUGCUGAUUCACGUUGCAGAGAAAAGCAGCAAAGUAAAUAAAUCUGAAAAAGUCUUGCUCAUCA